UACGUAGGGGGCAAGCGUCGUCCGGAUUUAUUGGGCGUAAAGAGCGUGUAGGCGGCUUGGCAAGUCCGCUGUGAAAACUCGAGGCUCAACCUCGAGACGUCGGUGGAAACUGCCUCGCUAGAGUCCGGAAGAGGAGAGUGGAAUUCCUGGUGUAGCGGUGAAAUGCGCAGAUAUCAGGAAGAACACCCGUGGCUAAGGCGGCUCUCUAGUACGGUACUGACGCUGAGACGCGAAAGCGUGGGGAGCGAACAGG
rnacentral:rRNA from 1 species